ACACGUUUGUGGGCUGAUUCAUUGCCAUGCAUAUGAAAGAGUGUCCACAUGGCUACUAGUUGUGUGGUGACAGAGAAGCGAGAGCGAUGAAUCGAAGAUGGGUUUCAGAUGUGUGUGUUUACGGUUUGAGGUGGAGGAGUGUGAGGAAGACGUUCAGCCUUCACUGUAGCAGGUUCACACCUGAAGCAGUUUAAAGAGAGUCCAAAGAUCUCUGUUUGCUCGGUGAAGAACUGGAACAGUACCACUGGUGGUUGAGGUGGGUGGAUAUAAAGGAACGCUGAAGUUGCUGAAGAUGAAUUUCAUUCUGUAUUUUACUGCUCUCUGUAUUUUGAUUUCAGAAAAUGUUCGAUAAGAUUCAACUGAAGAACCCUGACUGGUUUUGACUGUCUGACGCGCUCAUGUUGAGUCGGCUUUUUAAGCUGGAGUCGAAGCGAGACGGAGGCUGAGGGAGACAGAAGACGUCCAACUGGAGGUCAAGAUCAUCUAAUGAGCGCUAUUGAUGCAAUAAUUAGACCAGCAGCAGGCUAAUGAAGUAAUUAAUCGCUGAAUGUAUUUUCACUUAGAAGACAUCUGUUAAGUUACUUACCUAGUGGUCGGGCUAUUAUCACAAACAAUUUGUUGAAAUCCAGAAAAGAACAGGCUUUAAUUGUUAGAGAUCUGCUGCUGAAGUCACACUGAGAAUCUCCUCCUUUAUUUAACCAUCAGUUAUGUAACUGUUUCAGUAUUUUUCAGCACUUUUUGACCUUUAUAUUGUUAUUGUAAUAAUGAUAAUAAUACAAUAAUUCAUUCUUUCUUUAAAAAACAUGCGUGCAAGUUGAAUGAAAUGGUUAAAUGUGUAGAUUAAAAAGCACAUUUCUGUUGCAGUAUAGUUAUUUCAGUGAACUAUACUGGACAUUAGCAUUAAAGUUAUUAAAGCAAACGUGUCACGCUUCAGUGUUCCUUUUGGUUUUUGCUCCAGCUUUGGUCCCUACCACAAAUCCUCAGCUCCAAACCGAACAAUGAUCAAAAAGACAGUAAAAAGCUUUGUUGCACUGAGGGGAGCUGUGCAGCUGAGUGAUAAUUCUCUCUGGGUUUAUCACGGAGACAGACUCCUUUUUCUUUACACACAGUUAUUUGAUGCAUUGUUAAUAAAAAACUAUUGAUUAGUGCAGCUGUCACUCACUGAAAGCCUUAACA